rnacentral:rRNA from 1 species
UACGGGGGGAGCAAGCGUUGUUCGGAAUCACUGGGCGUAAAGGGCGUGUAGGCGGUCAGGUAAGUGGGACGUGAAAUCCCUCGGCUCACCCGAGGACCUGCGUCCCAUACUGCUUGGCUUGAGUAUGGGAGAGGAUGAGGGAAUUCCUGGUGUAGCGGUGAAAUGCGUAGAUAUCAGGAGGAACACCGGUGGCGAAGGCGCUCAUCUGGCCCAAUACUGACGCUGAGGCGCGAAAGCUAGGGGAGCAAACGGG